rnacentral:rRNA from 1 species
GACGAACGCUGGCGGCGUGCUUAACACAUGCAAGUCGAACGGAAAGGCCCUGCUUUUGUGGGGUGCUCGAGUGGCGAACGGGUGAGUAACACGUGAGUAACCUGCCCUUGACUUUGGGAUAACUUCAGGAAACUGGGGCUAAUACCGGAUAGGAGCUCCUGCUGCAUGGUGGGGGUUGGAAAGUUUCGGCGGUUGGGGAUGGACUCGCGGCUUAUCAGCUUGUUGGUGGGGUAGUGGCUUACCAAGGCUUUGACGGGUAGCCGGCCUGAGAGGGUGACCGGCCACAUUGGGACUGAGAUACGGCCCAGACUCCUACGGGAGGCAGCAGUGGGGAAUAUUGCACAAUGGGCGGAAGCCUGAUGCAGCAACGCCGCGUGCGGGAUGACGGCCUUCGGGUUGUAAACCGCUCUCGCCUGUGGCGAAGCGUGAGUGACGGUAAUGGGUAAAGAAGCACCGGCUAACUACGUG